UACGGAGGGUGCGAGCGUUGUUCGGAUUUACUGGGCGUAAAGGGCGCGUAGGCGGCCUGUUAAGUCAGACGUGAAAGCCCAAGGCUCAACCUUGGAAGUGCAUCUGAAACUGAUAGGCUUGAGUACUGGAGGGGAAAGUGGAAUUCCCGGUGUAGAGGUGAAAUUCGUAGAUAUCGGGAGGAAUACCGGUGGCGAAGGCGACUUUCUGGACAGAUACUGACGCUGAGGCGCGAAAGCGUGGGGAGCAAACAGG
rnacentral:rRNA from 1 species